UCCGAAUUGGUGUAGUGGCCAACAUUUGACGCUCUCAUUGCCGCCUUCUCACCUCUCUUUAGAGGUUUAGACGUAGGAUUGGUGCCGUCAAGCCCGGGGUUCGAUUCCCCGAUUCGGAG